AACGUAGGAGACAAACGUUUAUCCGGAGUUACUGGGCGUAAAGGGCGUGCAGGUGGCUUGAUAAGUUCGGCGUGAAAUUUCCCGGCUUAACCGGGGGAUGUCGUCGGAGACUGUCGAGCUAGAGGGUGAUAGAGGCGUGUGGAAUCCGGGUGUAGUGGUGAAAUGCGUAGAGAUCCGGAGGAACACCAGUGGCGAAGGCGGGUCUCUGGGCAGUAACUGAC
rnacentral:rRNA from 1 species